AUGGCGGAUUCCAAGAUGCCGGACAUCCAGGCCGGCUACGAAAAGGGCAUCACCAACGUGAUGGCCGGACUGUCCGGGCUCAACCUGGUCUACGAGUCGG
rfam:Mesorhizobium sp. B7, complete genome.